AUUGAACGCUGGCGGCAGGCCUAACACAUGCAAGUCGAACGGAGUGGCGGACGGGUGAGUAAUGUCUGGGAAACUGCCUGAUGGAGGGGGAUAACUACUGGAAACGGUAGCUAAUACCGCAUACUAUCAGAUGAGCCUAGGUAGGAUUAGCUAGUUGGUGGGGUAAAGGCCUACCAAGGCGACGCUCCAUAACUGGUCUGAGAGGAUGAUCAGUCACACUGGGACUGAGACACGUUCCAGACUCCUACGGGAGGCAGCAGUGGGGAAUAUUGGACAAUGGGCGAAAGCCUGAUCCAGCCAUGCCGCGUGUGUGAAGAAGGUCUUCGGAUUGUAAAGCACUUUAAGUUGGGAGGCGUUACCAACAGAAUAAGCACCGGCUAACUUCGUGCCAGCAGCCGCGGUAAUAC
rnacentral:rRNA from 1 species